rnacentral:rRNA from 1 species
UACAGAGGGGGCAAGCGUUGUUCGGAAUUAUGGUGCGUAAAGGGCGCGUAGGUGGCCUUCUAAGUUGAACGUGAAAUCCCUGGGCUCAACCCAGGAACUGCGUCCAAGACUGGGAGGCUUGAAUCCGGGAGAGGGAUGCGGAAUUCCAGGUGUAGCGGUGAAAUGCGUAGAUAUCUGGAGGAACACCGGUGGCGAAGGCGGCAUCCUGGACCGGUAUUGACACUGAGGCGCGAAAGCCAGGGGAGCAAACGGG